rnacentral:rRNA from 1 species
CGCGGCCUAUCAGCUUGUUGGUGAGGUAAUGGCUCACCAAGGCGACGACGGGUAGCCGGCCUGAGAGGGCGAUCGGCCACACUGGGACUGAGACACGGCCCAGACUCCUACGGGAGGCAGCAGUGGGGAAUAUUGCACAAUGGGCGCAAGCCUGAUGCAGCGACGCCGCGUGAGGGAUGAAGGCCUUCGGGUUGUAAACCUCUUUCAGCAGGGAAGAAGCGCAAGUGACGGUACCUGCAGAAGAAGCACCGGCUAACUACGUGCCAGCAGCCGCGGUAAUACGUAGGGUGCAAGCGUUGUCCGGAAUUAUUGGGCGUAAAGAGCUUGUAGGCGGUCUGUUGCGUCGGAAGUGAAAACUCAGGGCUUAACCCUGAGCCUGCUUUCGAUACGGGCAGACUUGAGGGAUGUAGGGGAGAACGGAAUUCCUGGUGGAGCGGUGGAAUGCGCAGAUAUCAGGAGGAACACCAGUGGCGAAGGCGGUUCUCUGGACAUUUCCUGACGCUGAGAAGCGAAAGCGUGGGGAGCAAACAGGCUUAGAUACCCUGGUAGUCCACGCCGUAAACGGUGGGCACUAGGUGUGGGACCCAUUCCACGGGUUCCGUGCCGAAGCUAACGCAUUAAGUGCCCCGCCUGGGGAGUACGG